rnacentral:rRNA from 1 species
GAUGAACGCUAGCGGCAGGCUUAAUACAUGCAAGUCGAGGGGCAGCAUGAUUGUAGCAAUACAAUUGAUGGCGACCGGCAAACGGGUGCGGAACACGUACACAACCUUCCAACGAGUGGGGGAUAGCCCAGAGAAAUUUGGAUUAAUACCCCGUAACAUAGCGAUGUGGCAUCACAUUGCUAUUAUAGAUUUUUCGCUUGUUGAUGGGUGUGCGGCUGAUUAGAUAGUUGGCGGGGUAACGGCCCACCAAGUCUACGAUCAGUAGCUGAUGUGAGAGCAUGAUCAGCCACACGGGCACUGAGACACGGGCCCGACUCCUACGGGAGGCAGCAGUAAGGAAUAUUGGACAAUGGACGCAAGUCUGAUCCAGCCAUGCCGCGUGAAGGAUUAAGGUCCUCUGGAUUGUAAACUUCUUUUAUAAGGGACGAAAAAAGGCUUUUCUAAGUCGUCUGACGGUACCUUAUGAAUAAGCACCGGCUAACUCCGUGCCAGCCGCCGCUGUAAUAC